ACCGCGGUAGCCCAGUUGGUAGUGGCGUCGGCAGUACAGAUAGCGAAGGUCGCUGGUUCAAAUUUAGCCUGCGGUG